UUUGAUCCUGGCUCAGAGUGAACGCUGGCGGCGUGCUCAACACAUGCAAGUCGAACGAGAACGGGUCUAGCUUGCUAGACUGUCAGCUAAGUGGCGGACGGGUGAGUAAUGUAUAGUUAAUCUGCCCUUUAGAGGGGGAUAACAGUUGGAAACGACUGCUAAUACCCCAUACUCCUUUUACCUUAAUGGUAAUUGGGAAACGUUUUUUCGCUAAAGGAUGAGACUAUAUGGUAUCAGGCAGUUGGUGGGGUAAGAGCCUACCAAGCCAAUGACGCCUAGCUGGUCUGAGAGGAUGAUCAGCCGGACUGGAACUGAGACACGGUCCAGACUCCUAAAGGGAGGCAGCAGUGGGGAAUAUUGCACAAUGGACGAAAACUCUGAUGCAGCACCCCCGCGUGGAGGAUGACGCCGUUCGGAGUGUAAACUGCUUUUAUUUCNAAAGGAUACUGACAGUACCAUA
rnacentral:rRNA from 1 species